CCUACGGGUGGCUGCAGUGAGGAAUAUUGGUCAAUGGGCGCGAGCCUGAACCAGCCAAGUCGCGUGAGGGAUGACGGUCCUACGGAUUGUAAACCUCUUUUGCCGGGGAGCAAGCGUGCGUUCGUGAACGCGAGUCGAGAGUACCCGGAGAAAAAGCAUCGGCUAACUCGGUGCCAGCAGCCGCGGUAAUCCGGGGGAUGCGAGCGUUAUCCGGAUUUAUUGGGUUUAAAGGGUGCGUAGGCGGAAUGCCAAGUCAGCGGUAAAAUGGCGGUGCUCAACGCCGGCGAGCCGUUGAAACUGGCGUUCUUGAGUGGGCGAGAAGUAUGCGGAAUGCGUGGUGUAGCGGUGAAAUGCAUAGAUAUCACGCAGAACUCCGAUUGCGAAGGCAGCAUGCCGGCGCCCUACUGACGCUGAGGCACGAAAGCGUGGGUAUCGAACAGGAUUAGAUACCCCUGUAGUC
rnacentral:rRNA from 1 species